ACGGGUGAGUAAUGCCUAGGAAUCUGCCUGGUAGUGGGGGACAACGUUUCGAAAGGAACGCUAAUACCGCAUACGUCCUACGGGAGAAAGCAGGGGACCUUCGGGCCUUGCGCUAUCAGAUGAGCCUAGGUCGGAUUAGCUAGUUGGUGAGGUAAUGGCUCACCAAGGCGACGAUCCGUAACUGGUCUGAGAGGAUGAUCAGUCACACUGGAACUGAGACACGGUCCAGACUCCUACGGGAGGCAGCAGUGGGGAAUAUUGGACAAUGGGCGAAAGCCUGAUCCAGCCAUGCCGCGUGUGUGAAGAAGGUCUUCGGAUUGUAAAGCACUUUAAGUUGGGAGGAAGGGUUGUAGAUUAAUACUCUGCAAUUUUGACGUUACCGACAGAAUAAGCACCGGCUAACUCUGUGCCAGCAGCCGCGGUAAUACAGAGGGUGCAAGCGUUAAUCGGAAUUACUGGGCGUAAAGCGCGCGUAGGUGGUUUGUUAAGUUGGAUGUGAAAGCCCCGGGCUCAACCUGGGAACUGCAUUCAAAACUGACAAGCUAGAGUAUGGUAGAGGGGUGGUGGAAUUUCCUGUGUAGCGG
rnacentral:rRNA from 1 species